GAUGAAGAACGUAGCGAAAUGCGAUAAGUAAUGUGAAUUGCAGAAUUCAGUGAAUCAUCGAAUCUUUGAACGCACAUUGCGCCCCCUGGUAUUCCGGGGGGCAUGCCUGUUCGAGCGUCAUUUCACCACUCAAGCCUCGCUUGGUAUUGGGCAUCGCGGUCCGCCGCGCGCCUCAAAUCGACCGGCUGGGUCUUCUGUCCCCUAAGCGUUGUGGAAACUAUUCGCUAAAGGGUGUUCGGGAGGCUACGCCGUAAAACAACCCCAUUUCUAAGGUUGACCUCGGUUCAGGUAGGGAUACCCGCUGAACUUAAGCAUAUCAAUAAGCGGAGGA
rnacentral:misc_RNA from 1 species